AACCUCUCAGAGAGAAGCCUUGAAACCCUGUCCUCAGUUGUUAGCUCUCAGUCCUCUAGUCUGAAAGAGCUGGACCUGAGUAACAAUAACCUACAGGAUUCAGGAGUGAAGCUUCUGUGCGUUGGGAUAGGAAGUCAACACUGCAAACUAGAAACUCUAAGACUAACUGACUGUAGCCUGACAGAGAAAAGCUGUGAACAUCUGUCAUCUGUUAUGAACUCUCCGUCCUCCAGUCUGAGAGAGCUGGACUUGAGUAAUAACGACCUACAGGAUUCAGGAGCGAAACUUCUGUGUGUUGGAGUAGAAAGUCAACACUGCAAACUAGAAACUCUAAGACUAACUGGCUGUAGCCUAACAGAGACUAGCUGUGAAGAUCUGUCAACAGUUGUGAGCUCCCAGUCCUCUAGUCUGAGAGAGCUGGACAUGAGUAACAAUGACCUACAGGAUUCAGGAGUGAAGCUUUUGUGUGCUGGAAUAGCAAGUCAGCACUGUAAA